rnacentral:rRNA from 1 species
GACAGAGGGUGCAAACGUUGUUCGGAAUUACUGGGCGUAAAGCGCGUGUAGGCGGCCAUGCAAGUCGGAUGUGAAAGCCCUCGGCUCAACCGGAGGAAGUGCCACCGAAACUGCCAUGGCUCGAGUCUCGGAGAGGAUCGUGGAAUUCUCGGUGUAGAGGUGAAAAUUCGUAGAUAUCGAGAGGAACACCGGUGGCGAAGG